rnacentral:rRNA from 1 species
AACAAGGUUUCCGUAGGUGAACCUGCGGAAGGAUCAUUACCGAGUUUUCGGGCUUCGGCUCGACUCUCCCACCCUUUGUGAACGUACCUCUGUUGCUUUGGCGGCUCCGGCCGCCAAAGGACCUCCAAACUCCAGUCAGUAAACGCAGACGUCUGAUAAACAAGUUAAUAAACUAAAACUUUCAACAACGGAUCUCUUGGUUCUGGCAUCGAUGAAGAACGCAGCGAAAUGCGAUAAGUAAUGUGAAUUGCAGAAUUCAGUGAAUCAUCGAAUCUUUGAACGCACAUUGCGCCCCUUGGUAUUCCGGGGGGCAUGCCUGUUCGAGCGUCAUUACAACCCUCAAGCUCUGCUUGGAAUUGGGCACCGUCCUCACUGCGGACGCGCCUCAAAGACCUCGGCGGUGGCUGUUCAGCCCUCAAGCGUAGUAGAAUACACCUCGCUUUGGAGUGGUUGGCGUCGCCCGCCGGACGAACCUUCUGAACUUUUCUCAAGGUUGACCUCGGAUCAGGUAGGGAUACCCGCUGAACUUAAGCAUAUC